UAAGACGACGGGUCCCAGGGUUGUUUGGAAUUAUUGGGGGUAAAGGGGAUUUAGGUGGCUUUUUAAGUUAGAUGUGAAAACCCCGGGCUUAACCCUGGAAGGGCAUUUGAUUCUGCGAAGCCUGAGGGUCGGAGAGGUUACUAGAAUUGUUGGUGUAGUGGUGAAAUACGUAGAUAUCAACAGGAAUACCGGAGGCGAAGGCGGGUAACUGGCCGAACACUGACCCUGAGAUCCGAAAGCGUGGGGGUCAAACAGGAUUAGAUACCCUGGUAGUCCACGCCGUAAACGAUGGAUACUUGUUGUUGGAGGUAUUGACCCCUUCAGUGACGAAGCUAACGCGUUAAGUAUGCCGCCUGGGGAGUACGGUCGCAAGAUUAAAACUCAAAGAAAUUGACGGGGGCCCGCACAAGCGGUGGAGCAUGUGGUUAAUCGAUGCGCCGC
rnacentral:rRNA from 1 species